UAAAUACUCCCUCCGUCCGAAAAUACUUGUCAUCAAAAUGGAUAAAAAGAGAUGUAUCUAAAACUAAAAUACGUCUAGAUAUAUUUCCUUUUAUCCAUUUUGAUGACAAGUAUUUCCGGACGGAGGGAGUAUUUG
rnacentral:pre_miRNA from 1 species